AGAGUUUGAUCCUGGCUCAGGACGAACGCUGGCGGCGUGCUUAACACAUGCAAGUCGAGCGAAGAUAAUAGCAAUGUUAUCUUAGCGGCGGACGGGUGAGUAACGCGUGGGCAACCUGCCUUAUACAGGGGGAUAACACAGGGAAACUUGUGCUAAUACCGCAUAACGUCACGAGAAGACAUCUAUUUGUGACCAAAGGA
rnacentral:rRNA from 1 species